rnacentral:rRNA from 1 species
GGGGAAUAUUGGACAAUGGGGGGAACCCUGAUCCAGCCAUGCCGCGUGUGUGAAGAAGGCCUUAUGGUUGUAAAGCACUUUAAGCGAGGAGGAGGCUCUUUUGGUUAAUACCCAAGAUGAGUGGACGUUACUCGCAGAAUAAGCACCGGCUAACUCUGUGCCAGCAGCCGCGGUAAUACAGAGGGUGCGAGCGUUAAUCGGAUUUACUGGGCGUAAAGCGUACGUAGGCGGCUUUUUAAGUCGGAUGUGAAAUCCCCGAGCUUAACUUGGGAAUUGCAUUCGAUACUGGGAAGCUAGAGUAUGGGAGAGGAUGGUAGAAUUCCAGGUGUAGCGGUGAAAUGCGUAGAGAUCUGGAGGAAUACCGAUGGCGAAGGCAGCCAUCUGGCCUAAUACUGACGCUGAGGUACGAAAGCAUGGGGAGCAAAC